UCUUAGAAUAUAAUUUCUGAUGUCAUUUUGACAAGGGAAAAAACAACAGAGUCCACAGUGAGGAUGCAGUUUAAAAUGGAACAGUAUGUUCAUUUAGGGGACAACAUGUGCAGCAACACAAAUAAAGAGGACAUGCAUGUAACUACCGACACCAUCAGUAAUAAGCGUCUAAACAACAUGAUGGUCCAGCUGAAAUCAUACUACCACGUAAGUCUCUGAUAAUAUAACAUUACGUAUCCUCAUUUACUGAAAUGUCAAAUGUAUUCAUGGGUGACUAAAUUCACAGUCAUUCAGCCAACUGCAUUCAGAAUAACAUGUAAAAAGUGAAAUAUGUCAGUUUACAUAGUAAAGGAUUCUAAUUGAUUUCAGGAUAAAUUAAUUAUGAGUACAAAACAAAAUACUUAAUUUGACAUAACAAUUAUAUUCUUUGCACCAAUCCAAGACUGCCUCUCAGCGGCUAGCAGGCCAGAUCCCACUGGUGAUCCGUUUCCAGAUGUUGCAGGAGUUGUCCACUCAGCUGCAGAAGGAGAUGCUGCAGAUGGUUCAAAAUAAGCCUGACACCGGUGUACUGCUCCGAGAGGACUCCAGUAUUAGGAGCAAAAGAAACAAGAUCCAAAGUCGCUUCAAACGUCUAACAAAAGCAUGCAUUUUGUUGUCUGAAGAAAUUCCUAGAACAAAGUUGUACUAGCAGUUAUAAGUCUUUAAACACAUUUUUGUUACUUGAAUUUUAAAGAUACGAUACAUAGCUUGUACUCUUGGUGGUUUAGGAAGGAAUCACGAUCUCAACUGAACUUUUGUUGCAAGAGCCUCAACCUGCAUAUAAAGGACACAUACAGGUUUUUCCUCCUUUGCAGUAUAUGAACAGACCAUGCUCAGAAAGAUCAGAACCUCUAAAGUUCACUCACUGACAGUCUUCUCCACAGAGAUCAAGGCAAGGCAAGGCAAGUUUAUUUGUAUAGCACAAUUCGUACACAAGGUAAUUCAAAGUGCUUUACAGAAUAAGAAACAUUAAAAUCACACAAAUCAAAACAUAAAUAAUCACAAAUAAUCAUCAUAAAAUUAACAUUAAAAGUGAAGAGUGCAGAAUAAAAACCUUUCAGUCAUAUGCACAGCUAAACAGAACUGUUUUGAGCCUGGAUUUAAACAUUGGCAAAGUAGAAGCCUGUCUCACAUCUUCAGGAAGACUGUUCCAGGUUUUAGCUGCAUAAAACUUAAACGCUGAUUCUCCAUGUUUAGUCCUGACUCUGGGCACCAGCAGGAGGCCGGUCCCUGAAGUCCUCAGAGUGUGAGAUGGUCCAUAUGGCACCAACAUGUCGAAGAUAUACUGUGGACGUAGGCCAUGGAGAGAUUUAUACACAAGCAAAGCUGCUUUAAAGUCUAUUCUUUGAGCUACAGAAAGCCAGUGCAGAGACCUGAGCACAGGACUUACGUUCUCGUACUUCCUGGUUCUAGUCAGGACCCGAGCAGCAGCGUUCUGGAUGUACUGCAGCUGUGUUAAGGCAUGUUUGGAGAGGCCAGUGAGCAGGCCGUUACAGUAGUCUAACCUACUGGACACAGAUGCAUGGAUAAGUCUCUAAGUCUGGCUUUGACAGUUUACCUUUGAUUUUUGCAAUGUUUUUUAGGUGGUAAAAAGCUGCAGAUGUUAUUGAUUUGAUGCGGCUGUUAAAGUUCAAGUCUGAGUCCAUUAUUACCCCUAGAUUUCAAGCACAGGCAAUGACUCACAACUGUACCGUCUAAACAAAAUAAAUAAAUAAAAUACAUUUCAAUUAUUUUGUUAUAAUUUCAUAUGUUAAUUGCUGAUCAAAGAAGAAGCAAUGUAAAGAAGCAAUGCAUUAAAAUAGUUUAACAUUUAUUUCAACAUUUGAAGAGAGUUUAUGGUCUGAGGUGUGGACCUUCCCCCUGUUCUCCUGUCCGUUAACUCCGGUACAGUCUAUAACCUGGAACCUACAAAAACAGUUCACAAAAUAAAUAAUUAAUGAGGCAUGUAGAAGUCAGUUAUUAUACACACCUGAUCUGCACUGAAGCUGAAACAUAAACAGAGAAAAUAGUCAAAUUCAAAGACUGAUCCACUGAACAGUAAGAGAUAUUGCAUAUUCUGAAUGACAUUAAAGUUUAAGCUUCAUUCUCUGACAAAAACACAAUAAUUGUAAAGCAUCCUAUUUAAUCACAAGGACUGGAAGACAUGAAUUACUCAAAGAGCAGAGCUUAGAGCUUUUUGGCAUUUUUUUGGUUGUUUGUUUUUUCACACAGAGAGAUAUUUCAGAUAGAAACUCAUAGGUGCACGUUGGCUUGUUGAGCAAACACUUUUCCAAUCAGUCAUAUUGGCCUAAUAAUGUAAUUACUGCAGCCAAAGUAGCAAAACACAUGCACUGUCUUUGAAUUAAAUUAGUAAAAUGUAUUUGUCUACAGUCUAUGUGUUUGUUAUAUGAUUAAAUAUGCUAAUGUGACCCAUUUGUAACCACUCCACAAUGCUCAUUUUUUGCCUAUCUUGGGUUAUGCUCACUUGAUGCAGUUUUGAUAAUGAACAAUGAAUAAAUAAAAAUAAAUAAAGAGAUUUUUUGGCAACUUUGACUAUAGAUUUGGAUCAGCUCAUUUCAAUUUCCCUAGCAUUUAAAAUGUUCAAACACCAAGAUGCACAUAUAUUUCAUUUCUCAGCAAGUUCAAUUUUGUUAUGUUGCUGCAUUUGCCAAAUAACCUCUAUAUGUGGUCUAUAAGCUGAAUGUGCUGAUGAUCUUAUUAAUGGAUCCAGACUCACUUCACUUCAGGUCUGACAAAAGCAUGCAUUUAUAGCAGCAGUAUUUAGGCAUAUAAUAGUAGUAGUAGUUCAGAUUCAGAAAACAUUAUUGAUCCCAGAGGGCAAUUCAUUUUUAGCAUUCUCAGCAGUUCUCACUUCUCACAUACAUGCAAACACACACAGUGUGUCAGUCCAUUACAGUCCACAAGUGGAACUCAAAGCACAAUUGUCAUGAUGCUUGCAUUUCCUGUCCUCCUGUGUUCUUCCCCCCUCCCCUACCUGUCUGCCUGGAGCUGGGUGGAGUUCCUGACUCCUCCCGCGCGCACCUGGAGCGCAUCAGCGCAAUCACCUCUACCGCUGGGGAGCUUAAGAUGGACGAGCUUCAGACACUCGGUGCCAGACCGUCCGCGUGUCAACGUGACUACUCUUGCUUUGUUUUUGCAUUUUGUCAUUUUGUCCUUUUCGAUGCUCAUUGGAUUUUUGCUACUCUCCAGGUUCCUGCUCUCCUGCUAGUUCCUGCUCCUGCCUCUGCACCCCAGCUUAGUGAUGUAAAACCGAAACCUCAUGAAACGUUGAACCACUUUGAGACAACUGCACUGAAAAUGACACACUGCUUCGAAUCAUUUGACACAGUCAGAAGAGCGACACCUGCUGGAUUUGUCUGUAAUGCAUUUCUGUGGAUGUGACGUAAAGCUUUUGUGAACCUCGCUUACUCCCUUCCUCUAAUCCCCACUCCCCUUUUCUGUGACUUUUGUCUGGAUGAAUUUUAUCACUUCCAUUUUAUUUAUAUUCUCUUAUAACUUAUGUUUAUUAUGAAAUUGUUUUACAUUAUUUUGUGUCAACUUGUGUUUAAAUUAAGUUGCUUUUCCCACUUUGGCGCAA
ensembl:lncRNA